rnacentral:lncRNA from 1 species
UAAAUACCUGUGUUUUCCCUAGAGCACUUGGCACAAUCAUAGAUCUCAAGAAGUGUUUGCUAAUGAUUGUGAAAGAGACUUUGGGAGCACUAUGAUCCAAACCACCAUUUAAAAAGUGAUAAAACUAUGAGGUCAUUACACGAAUCAGAUGGCCUAAGAUCCCAGAGGUGGACCCUUCAGAUUCUAAGUAAUGAAAACAGUGGAAGCCUGGUUCUGCAAAUUUCAGCUCUUCCUUGUCAUUUGUCCAGAAGCCUAAACGGAAACAGUCUUCCUUCCAGGCCCAUCUAUCACAGCCACAGAGUUACGUAAUAAAACGUCAAAAUAAUGACUUGGAGACACUGUGAAAUGCUACAGUGCCUGCCAAACUUCCAAGAAACAGGUAAGCUUUUAUAAAAAUAAGUAUAUUUUAUGGACUUAUAAUACUUUGAAAAUUGAAAACAAUAUAUAGUUGAGCAUAAUAUUAAAAGUAGCAUCAUGACAUUCUUCAACUAUUUCAGUGAAAGCAGCCUUUUCACACACUAUCUGAGAUCAUUUCAGCUUUCAAAAAUGAUAAGAGUCUGCUUGUAAUUAACACAUAAAUGAUGACUCAAUGACAAUUUAAUUUUUUGUGUAAAAGCAACAUGCACUAGCAUGGAAUUCUCCCUAUUAAAGCCCAAUCUCCUUUGCUGUUAGUUUUCAGAUACUUUCUAAUAUGUAGUAUAAAAAUUUUUGCAUUAUUUUUUAAAAUAAAAAUUGGUUAAUUUUUUUUUCACAACCAAAGCCACAUAUAAGGAAGUUCCUGAUAAAAAUAAAAACAUCUUUUUCAAAUAUUCAUGUUCAUGGUAGGAAUUUUAGAAAACAGAAAAGUAUAAAGCAGAAAAUUAAAACUGUCUAGAUUUCACCAUCCAAAGAUGACUGCUUUUAAUAUUCUUAUACAUUUUUCUUUGGGUUUUAAAUCUUUUUGUUUAGAAAAAAUUUAGAAGGAUAGAAAAGUUGCAAGUAUAGCACAGAAGGUUACCGUAUAUACUUCAGACAGCUUCCCUUAAGGUUAGGGCUUACAUUAUCAUAGUACUGUUACCAAAACUUAGGAAAUCAACAUUGAAACAAUCCUAUUAAUGAAGCCAAAGACUAUUAAAAUUAUCCAGCUUUUUUUUUGUUUUGUUAUUAAUGUCCUUUUACUGUUUCCAGGAUCCUCUUUAGGAUCUCAUGUUGUAUUAGGUGUCAUGUUUCUGACGUGUGAUGAGAUUGACACUUCAGAAGAAGACUACUCAGUUAUUUUAACUUCUUUCUACAAUGGACAGUGGAAAAACUGGCUGUCAUUUUUCAUUUGUUGUUGGUGUUUUUUUUUUUUUUUUUUUUUUAAGGGCUGUACUUGAGGCAUAUGAAAGUUCCCAGGCUAGAGGUCGAAUUGGAGCUGUAGCUGCUGUCUACACCACAACCACAGCAACACAGGAUCUGAGCCCCAUCUGUGACCUACACCACAGCUCACAGCAAUGUUGGGUCCUUAACCCACUGAGCGAGGUCAGGGAUGGAACCUGCAUCUUCAUGGAUACUAGUUGGGUUCAUUACCACUGCUCCACAAAAGGAUCUUCCAGAAAAUAGUUUCUGAAUUAUGAAUCUACACUCAUGUGAGAAAUUUACUAAGGUAAGUACAUUAUUUUUGUACAGUUCUUUUUGUCUCUAGCCUUAUAUCAUUCAGUCAAGACACUACUUUCCAAAGUAACAUAGAUUCCAGUUCUUUCCCUGUUCACAUCCUUCAGUGUUAUGCUAUUCAUUUGGGGAGGUGUGCCUGGGAAGCCUGAAGACCUGUUUCAUCUCUCUCCAAGUCCUUCCCACUGAACACCCUGUGACCAACAGUCACCAGCACCUUAUAAUAUGUGGUUUUACAUCCAUAUUAAAUCAUUCUUUCCCUCACUGUCCCCUAACCAAGUUCCUUUAUUGGGAAGCUCCAAAAAUUUAUACUGAAAAUACAUUUUUGUUAAAACUCCUUACCUAGAGUUUGUUUCCCCAGAGCUUGUACUGGAGUGAUGGAAAUAACAUGCUCCUUUGUAGUUCAAAGAGCUGCAGGGAACAGAAGCUCCCAAAACUGCCCUGAAGGCAACUGAAACUUUGGGCUUUAGCUGUCAUCAGGCAGCCCCACAGGACUGUCAACAGGUAGGAACCAAGGACUGUUCAAGCUGGCUGACCAGUUGUGGGAGGCCUUCCGGAAUGGCAGGUUUUCAAACAGUAGCAAGACUGUGGUGUCUUAAAAGCCCCGAUUUCUCUUCUGCCGUAGUAUGGACCAUGUUUCAUCCCAGACAUUUUGACCUCUGCGGCAGCCAUGACUGUGUAGCUCAAGGCAUUUUUAUUUCCUUUGAUUUGGUAUUUGCUAACUAUACUUCAAAUAUCUCUAGAACCAAAUGAUUCAUUGAACCCUUGAAAGCUAAAUGAAAAGAAUCUCAUAUUUUCCUGCUCUUUUUUUGGCCUUUUGAUACUCUUUAAUUUUAGAGUCAACUUUUCAGUUUGGAAACUGAAAAGGCUGAAGAACUUAGCCCAUUUAUAUCUUCAAAAAAUAAUGAAAUAGAUAAGCUAAGUCUGUCUUGAGGCAUCACAAUAAUAGAGUCUUCCCACUGAAAUGGACAAUUGCCUUUGUACAAUGGUUAAGGGCAGAUAGGAGAAGGAAGAAAGAGAAAGAUAAUGCCAUCUGCCCACCUUAUUAUUAUUAUUAUUUUUCCUAAAGCAAGUGUUGAAGAUUUUUCAGAUGAAAUAGGAGUGUUCCAUUUUACCUCCAUGCAGGGAUUCUUGGUAUAGUAGGAAGUGGUUUUCUACCCAUCUGAAAACUCUUCUUAGCCAGGCAUCAAAGACUGGAGCCAGAGAUGUAAGCAGGGGUGGGGUAGAAAGAGCUCAUAUGCUGAAUCAAUCAGCCUGGAUUUGAUUCAACCUGCUGUCAAUUACCAGCAAAGUGACUUUAAGCAAGUCACUUAAUUUUUCUGACUCUCUAUUUCCCCAUCCAUAAAGUCACACAUACCUCACAGGUUCUUAUUAGGAUCAGAUAAAAAAUUUGUGUCAAAAAGCCUGGAACAUAAUAGGCUUUCUAUAAAUGUUAAUUGAAUCAGAAAAUAACCUUGGGUCAACGUGUUCUGCCUUUCAGCCAACACCAGUGAUAGCAUUUUGUGUAUAGUGGUUUUGUCGCCUGGCUACUUAGGCACUGCCGUGGACAUUAUAACACAGGAGAAGCAAACUUUGACGAAUGGCAGCUCACAUUGUAGAGCUAACGCUUCAGACUCAAUCACACAUGGAGAGGAUGAUACACUAACAUCUACCACAGAAUUGUGGCCAAAGACUUAAUGUGAUGUGGCCUCUUCUGGGUAGGAAGAAAUACAACCAUAAUCUGGUGCCUCAAAUAAAGCCCUAUUUUAAGGAAAAUAAAACUCUUUCAGGAAUUUUCUCAGGACUGCUUGCCUUUUUUUUUUUUUUUUUUUUUUUUUUCCAACUGGACUCUAAAAAAUUUUUUGCAGCUGUUAAAAAAUGUUAUAAAAUAUCGGAGUUCCCGUCGUGGCGCAGUGGUUAACGAAUCCAACUAGGAACCAUGAGGUUGCGGGUUCGAUCCCUGCCCUUGCUCAGUAGGUUAAUGAUCCGGUGUUGCCGUGAGCUGUGGUGUAGGUUGCAGACGCGGCUCGGAUCCCGCGUUGCUGUGGCUCUGGCGUAGGCUGGUGGCUACAGCUCCGAUUCAACCCCUAGCCUGGGAACCUCCAUAUGCCACGGGAGCGGCCCAAGAAAUAGCAACAAUAACAACAACAACAACAACAACAAAAAAGACCAAAAAAAAAAAAAGUUAUAAAAUAUCUUUAAAAUUUUUUAUUUAAUACAGCAUUUUCCUGCUCCUUUAAAAGUCAGCUUACUUCAUGGAAAGUUGCUACAUAAUGAAAACUUUCUUAGUUAAAUCUCAUUAGCAACCAAUCCAUAUCAAUAAUAAAAUUUCCUAUUUGUUGCCUUAACCUAAAAUAGGGUAACUCUAUAAUUUAUUAUCCAGACUGAAACACUUUGGGGAAUGAAAGUUGGCUUCAUUAAUUAUUAUGCUGGAACCAUAAAGCAUAUUUAGGGAUGGUCUUAGAAAAACCUGGACAGAAGGUCACUCUAACUUUCCAGAAAUGUUGGCUAGCCUGAGCAUUGGUAUCUAAGAGAACUAAUGCAUGAGGGUCCUGCAGAAGGAGUAGGGGGUGUUUUCGUUCAGCAGAAGCAUUUCUGGAUUCUUUUUUCUCCCCUGAAUUGUAAGACUUGCUUGUAGUUUAAAUUUUAGCACUAGCUGUUACUUUAAGAAAAACACUGUGCAUUGAAAUUGUCCCAGAAUUUCAAAGGAGAAAUAAAUUUCCUGUAUUCAUGUCCUAGAAUUUCAUUUAUUGUUUGCUAAUGCAUUAGAAACAUUGUGUUAAUUUUUGAUUAUUAGAUUUGAACCUAAUUGUAUGGCACACCCUGUGCCCCCAUCCCCUAUAAAGGGAUAUUUUUCCCACAGGUCUGAGGAUAUGUGGUUAAAAGACAAAUCUUGGCUUUCAGAUAAAGCUUGAAGAUAAGCAGAAUUACCUUUGUAUAUAUUAGAUUUUAUAGUUAUUUUUGUUUAAAUAUUACGGUGUGUAUAAUAUAUAUUUGAAUCUAUUAGAUUUAUCAAUUAGCUACACUGGAAGUUGUCUUAAUAUUGUGCAAUGCAUUCUGCAAGUAAUUUUCUUAAUAACAUAAUAACAUAAAUAUCCUCAUUGAUUGUUAUAACUAACUCACAGUUAUUUAAAAUGUUUUGAUAAUGGCAUUGCGCCCUUUUCAGGAAUCAGGCAAGCUCUAUUUAUUCUAUGUCCUUCCUUUUUCAAGUUUUCUAUGUUCACCUUGAAAAUUCACAACAUUUAGGUAUAUCUUCCAGCUAGUACAUUACUGGAGACACUAAAGAUUUGAAGGGAAAAAAAAUGAACAAAUUUUGAAAGCCCUGAUUAGUAAGUUUUUUUGGUCAAAAGCUGGAUACUAUAAAAUAUUUAACAUGUUUAUCCCCAGCUGCAUUUGCAAUUUUAUUUUUCUCCUCAUUUUUGUAUGACGUUCAUUUUAUAACACAAGUGGAAUUUUUGAACUAUUUUCUAUGUGCUGAGCAGGAUUAUCAUCGUAAAGAUGACAAAGUGAAUGAGACACAUGUCCUGUCUAAGGGUGACCACUAUCUCAUUUUUGCUAUUUAGAAAAUGGUAACAAGGUAAGGAUUCUAUUUGUAUUGUAUGUGUCCAGAGUUUAGAAAAAAAGCUCAAAAUAUGCAAAUUCUAAAAUUAUUUUGAAGUUCAGCUAUUUAAAAGGUCAAGAAAGUUGUUUUCUUCUCAAGAACAGACGGAGAUGGAGGAAAACCUGCCAACCAAAGAGGUUCAAUUUGGACAUGCAUUCAUUAACUUCUCCAGGCACUGCCACUCUACCCAGAUGAGAGAAGAUACUUCCUGAAUGUUCUAGGGGCCGUCAGGCUGAAUGAGUGCAUUUCCCAAAGCAGAAACCCCAUUUUCCACCAAUAUUUAAUGAUUUCUUUGUUCCCCCUCUAUUAAACAAAGGUUUUG